AACGAACGCUGGCGGCAGGCUUAACACAUGCAAGUCGAGCGCCCCGCAAGGGGAGCGGCAGACGGGUGAGUAACGCGUGGGAAUCUACCUUUUGCUACGGAAUAACUCAGGGAAACUUGUGCUAAUACCGUAUGUGCCCUUCGGGGGAAAGAUUUAUCGGCAAAGGAUGAGCCCGCGUUGGAUUAGCUAGUUGGUGGGGUAAAGGCCUACCAAGGCGACGAUCCAUAGCUGGUCUGAGAGGAUGAUCAGCCACAUUGGGACUGAGACACGGCCCAAACUCCUACGGGAGGCAGCAGUGGGGAAUAUUGGACAAUGGGCGCAAGCCUGAUCCAGCCAUGCCGCGUGAGUGAUGAAGGCCUUAGGGUUGUAAAGCUCUUUCAGCUGGGAAGAUAAUGACGGUACCAGCAGAAGAAGCCCCGGCUAACUCCGUGCCAGCAGCCGCAGUAACAC
rnacentral:rRNA from 1 species